UUUCUGUGUUGGUGUAAUGUACUCAGGUGAAUAUGAUGCUUGUGAACAUCACAAGCAUCAUAUUCACCUGAGUACAUUACACCAACA
rnacentral:miRNA from 1 species